UCCUGACUGACCGAUAGUGAACCAGUACCGUGAGGGAAAGGCGAAAAGAACCCCGGCGAGGGGAGUGAAAAAGAACCUGAAACCGUGUACGUACAAGCAGUGGGAGCACGCUUAGGCGUGUGACUGCGUACCUUUUGUAUAAUGGGUCAGCGACUUAUAUUCUGUAGCAAGGUUAACCGAAUAGGGGAGCCGAAGGGAAACCGAGUCUUAACUGGGCGUUAAGUUGCAGGGUAUAGACCCGAAACCCGGUGAUCUAGCCAUGGGCAGGUUGAAGGUUGGGUAACACUAACUGGAGGACCGAACCGACUAAUGUUGAAAAAUUAGCGGAUGACUUGUGGCUGGGGGUGAAAGGCCAAUCAAACCGGGAGAUAGCUGGUUCUCCCCGAAAGCUAUUUAGGUAGCGCCUCGUGAAUUCAUCUCCGGGGGUAGAGCACUGUUUCGGCAAGGGGGUCAUCCCGACUUACCAACCCGAUGCAAACUGCGAAUACCGGAGAAUGUUAUCACGGGAGACACACGGCGGGUGCUAACGUCCGUCGUGAAGAGGGAAACAACCCAGACCGCCAGCUAAGGUCCCAAAGUCAUGGUUAAGUGGGAAACGAUGUGGGAAGGCCCAGACAGCCAGGAUGUUGGCUUAGAAGCAGCCAUCAUUUAAAGAAAGCGUAAUAGCUCACUGGUCGAGUCGGCCUGCGCGGAAGAUGUAACGGGGCUAAACCAUGCACCGAAGCUGCGGCAGCGACGCUUAUGCGUUGUUGGGUAGGGGAGCGUUCUGUAAGCCUGCGAAGGUGUGCUGUGAGGCAUGCUGGAGGUAUCAGAAGUGCGAAUGCUGACAUAAGUAACGAUAAAGCGGGUGAAAAGCCCGCUCGCCGGAAGACCAAGGGUUCCUGUCCAACGUUAAUCGGGGCAGGGUGAGUCGACCCCUAAGGCGAGGCCGAAAGGCGUAGUCGAUGGGAAACAGGUUAAUAUUCCUGUACUUGGUGUUACUGCGAAGGGGGGACGGAGAAGGCUAUGUUGGCCGGGCGACGGUUGUCCCGGUUUAAGCGUGUAGGCUGGUUUUCCAGGCAAAUCCGGAAAAUCAAGGCUGAGGCGUGAUGACGAGGCACUACGGUGCUGAAGCAACAAAUGCCCUGCUUCCAGGAAAAGCCUCUAAGCAUCAGGUAACAUCAAAUCGUACCCCAAACCGACACAGGUGGUCAGGUAGAGAAUACCAAGGCGCUUGAGAGAACUCGGGUGAAGGAACUAGGCAAAAUGGUGCCGUAACUUCGGGAGAAGGCACGCUGAUAUGUAGGUGAAGUCCCUUGCGGAUGGAGCUGAAAUCAGUCGAAGAUACCAGCUGGCUGCAACUGUUUAUUAAAAACACAGCACUGUGCAAACACGAAAGUGGACGUAUACGGUGUGACGCCUGCCCGGUGCCGGAAGGUUAAUUGAUGGGGUCAGCGCAAGCGAAGCUCUUGAUCGAAGCCCCGGUAAACGGCGGCCGUAACUAUAACGGUCCUAAGGUAGCGAAAUUCCUUGUCGGGUAAGUUCCGACCUGCACGAAUGGCGUAAUGAUGGCCAGGCUGUCUCCACCCGAGACUCAGUGAAAUUGAACUCGCUGUGAAGAUGCAGUGUACCCGCGGCAAGACGGAAAGACCCCGUGAACCUUUACUAUAGCUUGACACUGAACAUUGAGCCUUGAUGUGUAGGAUAGGUGGGAGGCUUUGAAGUGUGGACGCCAGUCUGCAUGGAGCCGGCCUUGAAAUACCACCCUUUAAUGUUUGAUGUUCUAACGUGGACCCGUGAUCCGGGUUGCGGACAGUGUCUGGUGGGUAGUUUGACUGGGGCGGUCUCCUCCUAAAGAGUAACGGAGGAGCACGAAGGUUGGCUAAUCCUGGUCGGACAUCAGGAGGUUAGUGCAAUGGCAUAAGCCAGCUUGACUGCGAGCGUGACGGCGCGAGCAGGUGCGAAAGCAGGUCAUAGUGAUCCGGUGGUUCUGAAUGGAAGGGCCAUCGCUCAACGGAUAAAAGGUACUCCGGGGAUAACAGGCUGAUACCGCCCAAGAGUUCAUAUCGACGGCGGUGUUUGGCACCUCGAUGUCGGCUCAUCACAUCCUGGGGCUGAAGUAGGUCCCAAGGGUAUGGCUGUUCGCCAUUUAAAGUGGUACGCGAGCUGGGUUUAGAACGUCGUGAGACAGUUCGGUCCCUAUCUGCCGUGGGCG
rnacentral:rRNA from 1 species